rnacentral:rRNA from 1 species
CACGUAGGAGGCAAACGUUAUCCGGAUUUACUGGGCGUAAAGCGCGUGUAGGUGGUACUGUAAGUAGGGCGUGAAAGCUCCCGGCUCAACUGUGAGAGGCCGUUCUAAACUACAGAACUAGAGGAUGGUAGAGGGAGGUGGAAUUCCAGGUGUAGCGGUGGAAUGCGCAGAUAUCUGGAGGAACACCGGUGGCGAAGGCGGCCUCCUGGACCAUUCCUGACACUCAGACGCGAAAGCUAGGGUAGCAAACGGGAUUAGAUACCCGGGUAGUCCCUGAGCGGG